UCUCCGUAGUCCAUAUGUGUUCUCUCUCUAGAACUCUCUGUCUCUUCUCUCUCUCGUAUCUUCUUCUCCUUUCUAAUAAACGUAUUUUUUUUCUUUUUUCUUUACCUCCCAAACCACCGAUCUGUACUGUGAUUCAACUCCUUCACAACCCAGCCUUAGCACCGAUCUCUCUCUACGAAUCCAGAUCAACAAAAAAAUUUGAAACCCAAGAACAUUUGCAGCCGAUCUGCAUGAGAGAAGAGCCAGAAAAAAAAAAUGGAGCUCAAGUCCGUAUAUGUUCUUUCUCUCUGGAACUCUCUGUAUCUCUUCUCUCUCUCUCUUCUCUCUAUCAUUUCAAGAUGACAGGACCAGAUCGGCCCGGGAAGAAAGAAAGAAAAAAAAAAAAACAUGGGAAGAAACACCGAGUAAUUUUUACAGUGUUCUUUCUGUGGAGUAGGAUUAGAAUGCCUUUUUGGUUGUUGGAGGUAAGGAGAUUAGAGGCUCUAUCUUUGAUUUGAAGGGGCCCUGUGGUUUACCCCGAGCCUUGGUGAGUCGGGGUAUUGGCUAAAAAUCCACUGAGGUCCUUGAGAUGGCACGAGUCAUCAAGUAGAGGUUUGUGAUUCCAAGGCUGCAGAGCAAGAGAUUGUUCUUGAGAAGUUCGAUGUUUUAAGGGAUUGAAGACCAACAUUACCAAAGAGCUCAAUGCCAGGCACAAAAAGCAGUUUUCUAUGGCUCCCACUAAAGGAUAUGUCACUUUUGUUACAUAAAGCUAGCGAUUAUGGACUCUGGCUAUGAUUUGUUGAGCUUCUUUGAGUUGUGAAACUGAAGCUCUCUCUCUUUCCAAAGAGUACCGAUCACACAUGCAGCAGAACAACAUCCUGAUGAGGUCAGAUUUUCAAGGUUCGAGGACAUGAAAGCAAAUGUCCAUAAGAUGACAUUCACGCAUAACCCAACCUACCCAUCCUUUAUAUCAAACUCCAGUGGUGUUGUUCAUCUCAUAAUCUCACGCGUCGGACACGGUUGAGAGAAGAACCCAUCCAAGCAAAGACCUAGCACCACCGACACCCUCAUCUCUCACCUGCGCCGACAUCAGUCAGUUCAUCAACUCCGACCUCUGCCCAGUAAUGCUGUUUGUAGGCGAUGGGUCUUCAGGAUAUGGAGGCAGAAGUAUAGAGAAGGAAAAGGAAAAGAAAAAACCACAAACCUUUCUCUUAGAUUCGGUGUGUGUGUCUGUGGAGAUAGGAAGACAAAACAAUGUUUUGGGUGAAAGGAGAGAGAAGAGGACAUGCGCGAGAGAAAACCAACCUUCUGACUUGUGCAGGCUGUGGGCUCCACCAAAAAGUGAAAAAAUUGAGUACUGAGUUGUGGGGCACGGUUUUGAGAUAUUGGAGCCAAACAAAAAUUCAGUUUUGGGUUUUGAGUGAGAUAGAGUUUUGAGAAAUGAGUGAUGUUUUUGAGUUAUGAGUUUUGAGAUACUUCCAAUUCAAACACACUUUAAGUGUCUUCCUUAGUCUAGCAUCUUCCUCAGUUUCCUCAGUCCCUUGCUCAGUCCCUCCUCAGUUUCCUCUGUCCCUCGUCUUUCUUAGUCCUCCUCAAUUUCCUCAAUCCCUCGUCUUUCUUAGUCCUCCUCAAUUUUCUCUCUUCGUGUCUUUUAUUUGCUCCGCCACCGUGUCAUCCCUUACCUCUUGCUCAAUGGACGACGGCCUCUCAACGACAGUGACAAGUGGGCGGCACUCCAUUAGAAAACAAGGCAAGCUUGAAUAAUUUGUGAAAUUUUUUUACUGUACUUAUUUGUGAAAUUUUGUUAGGGUUUUGUUGUCUUUUUCCUAUCUUUUAUUUCUAUCUGAUAUGACAUAAAAACUUUUUGUAGCAUGAUGGUAGAUCUGUGUCAUCCUCCAACCUCUAGUUCCGACCACAUCACUUCCCCUUUGUUUGUUUAGAAUUUGCUUGUCCGCAUACUCAAACCUUGACCCUAACCCAGCCUCAUGCAAAAUAUUUACCCACCUUUUCCCCAUCUUGCGCUUCACCUACCAAGGGCCCUUUUUAGGCCGAUUAGCCAACCCUAAUGUUAGGCAAUGGAUAUGGAACUCGAUCACACUAAUGUCUUUAUCAAUCAUCCAUUAACAAUGGACAUUAACAUUCGAGCUAAUGUUUUUCCACCUUUCGAACACCCUCGUCCUAACCUUCAUUAUAGGUUCAUGUAUCCAGUGCUUGUAAGUUUUUAUGAUUUUUUUUGGCUGUAUAUUUGGUCAGAAAUUCAGGUGAAAACAGGUCAUAAAAACCUACAGGCAUUGGAUACAUGGACCUAUAAUGAAGGUUAGGCCGAGGGUGGUCGAAAAGGUGGAAAACCCGGUCGCACAAUAUCAGCUCGAAUGUCAAUAUCCAUGGUUAAUGGAUUGAUAAAGACAUUAGUGAGAUCGAGUUCCAUAUUCACUGCUUGAGCCCAUAAUAGAAACCUAUUUGGGUUGAUGUGAUAUUCACUAAAAAAACCUAUAAACUACGUCUAGGAUUUUAUCAUUAUUUACCUAGUAUGCCCUAUCAUGGUAGGGAGGGUUUAAACCCAGGAUAACAUUGGGGUUGCCUAAUUGGCCUAAAAAAUACCCUUGGUGGGGCGCAAGGGUGAGAUGGGGAAAAGGUGGGCAAAUAAUUUGCAUGAGGUUGGGUUAGGGUUUGAGUAUGGGGACGGGCAAAUUCUAAACAAACAAAGGGGAAGUGCUGUGGUCGGAACUAGAGGUUGGAGGAAGACAUAGAUCUACCAUCAUGUUGCAAAAAGUUUUUAUGUCAAAUCAGAUAGAAAUAAAAGAGAGGAAAAAGACAACAAAAUUUCACAAAUAAGUAUGGUAAAAAUUUCAAAAAUUAUUCGAGCUUGCCUUGUUUUCUAAUGGUGUGCUGCCCGUUUGUCACCGUCGUUGAGAGGCCGUUGUCCAUUGAGCAAUAGGUAAGGGAUGACACGGUGACAGAGCAAAUAAAAGACACGAAGAGAGACGAGGGACUGGGGAGGACUAAGAAAGACGAGGGACGGAGGAAACCGAGCAAGGGACUGAGGAAGACGCUGGACUAAGGAAGAUGCUUAGAGGGUGUUUGGAUUGGAAGUAUCUCAUAACUCAAAACACAUAAAUCAAAAACAUCACUCAUUUUUCAGGUCUAUAAAUUUGACUUUUUAAGUAAUACUCCUGGAGAGCUUUAUUCUGGAUUUGGUCUUUUGCUUGAGACAAAGCUUGAUGAUGAUGUGGGAAAUAUUGAAUUGGAGCUUUACUUGGUCUCAAAGAAGGUUAAGUCUUCUGUAUCUUUUUGUGGGCAAGUGCAUUUGGAUGAAGAACAGAUGACAAAUUUCAAGAAUUUUUCUUUAAUGGAUUUUUUGGGAGACUGUUUUUUGGAUCCAAAUCAGUUGGAACAUGCAGAGAAUUUUGACUUAAGAAUGAAACUAAAUCACUAUGGAGCCCAUCAAAUAUGUAUUUGCUUCUACCUACAUUGAACACUUCAAGUCCUCAGCCUUGCCAAAUAAAUUGGAUGGACAUCAAUUCUUGCAUUUCUGUGGUAGAAAUCAUGAAAAAAAGCCCUUUUUUGGGUGCUGAAAAUUGUAAUAGUGAGAUAGGAAAUUUAUCACCUUAUAGAAAUGGUUCAUACAGCACUAAUGUUAUCCACUUUGCUUAUAGUAUGGCUAACAUAAACAACCUCAAGGAUAUGAUAGUUUUGGCAGUUCACACUGGAAAAAUAUACUCCGUUGUUGAGGUUGUGAAUAAUACCUCUGUUGAGAGUCCUUUUGAUGGAAACACUGACAAUGCCUCAUCAAAAUAUAUGACAUUUUCAGAGUACUUCAACAAAAAGUAAGUGAUUUCUUAUCCUGAAUGAUGUUUUGAGCUUAUUGUGUAUUUUUCCCUUUGGAUUCCUCUAUAUAGUUCCAUAGAUAGCUCCUGUCCUGAUCAGGUAUGGGAUACCACUGAUGUAUCCAGGACAGCCUUUGUUGCGGUUAAAGCAAAGUCAUAAACCACACAACCUUCUUGUAAACUUUGAUGAGGAAGGCCUUACUGGUAAGACAUUGGAAGCAGGUGUGCUUGUCAAAAAGGCGCAAAUGCAUGUUCAUAUGCCUCCUGAACUUUUGAUCAGGCUUGAUGUUUCCAGAGGAGUUUUAAGAUCAUUUUAUUUAUGUUAGGAAUGCUAUAAGCAUAUGGAUAAUAAUUGUUGUAUUGAGAUUUAGUUAAUUAGUUAGUUAGUUAGUUAGUUAGUUAGUUACAAUUCCAAGCAUGUUAAUCACAUUUAGCACAUGUUGGAAUUAUUAAUGCACAUGGGGAAUAAUAAAACCAAUAGGAUAAGGCCAUGUGGGCCAAUGAGAUUAGAGCUAGUCUCCUAUAAAUACAUGAUUGUAAUUCAACAUUAGAUAUCAAUGAAGAAUAAACCAAUUUGUUAGUGUAUUAGUGCAUUUCUCUCUCUUAAUCUCUCUCUUUCUCUAUGGAGGGUGACUACCUCGAAUUAAGUCAAUUUCCCUACAAUCCCCAUCCAUUCCCCUAUAAUUCCCAUCAAUCCCCAUUAGGAACCAUCGGGUUCCUAACAAAUGGUAUCAGAGCCGUUGAUCCAGUGACAAGCAAUUGUGAUGAAAGAAAAAUUUUGAAAAAAAUACAAGAAUUGUUGAACAAAGCUUUAGAAGAAUCCAAGGAGAUUUCAAAGAAGAUGAAGGCCUUGGAUGAAUCUAACAUGGCCAUGAAGGAGGAGCUCUCAAGAUUGCAAGAGGGUCUCGAGAACAUGACGGAAGAGGAGUUACAAUCUCUUGAUUCAAUGAAACUCGAAGAACAAAUCAAGUUCCAAGAAUCUACUACUGUUGUUGCAAGCCGAGAUGUUGAUUUUUGUGUCAAAGUGGAUGAUGAUAUACAUGUACAUGUUGCCCUUGAAGUUCAGUCGAAAGAAUCAACAAAGAAGGUGAUGAUGAUCCUCCAAGAACCCAUUCUUGAUGCACCAAUGGAGGCUUCCAUUCAAGAGUCUAUGAUUCAAGAAUUGGCAAUCCAAGUGUCGGUGAUCCAAGAAUCCAAGAUACAAGCUCCAAGAAUUCUAAUGGUUCUAGAAUCAAAUGAGGUCUUGAGGAUACUAGAACAUUUCAAGGUUCAAAAAACCAAUGAGACCUUGAAGAUUGAAGAACCAUUGAAGGCUCAAGAAUUUGAGCAAAGUUUGAAAGAAGAAACCUUCAUGUGCACUGGACCGCUUGUCAAAGAGAAAUGCAUGAAUAUGGUGAUCAAAAUGUCACUACGGUAUUGGUCCAUUGGAAGAUCUCCUUUGAUGAAGAUGCUAUUUCACAACAACACCUUGUGGGCAAGGUGUUUUCAAGGGGAGGGAAAUGUUAGGAAUGCUAUAAGCAUAUGGAUAAUAAUUGUUGUAUUGAGAUUUAGUUAAUUAGUUAGUUAGUUAGUUAGUUAGUUAGUUACAAUUCCAAGCAUGUUAAUCACAUUUAGCACAUGUUGGAAUUAUUAAUGCACAUGGGGAAUAAUAGAACCAAUAGGAUAAGGCCAUGUGGGCCAAUGAGAUUAGAGCUAGUCUCCUAUAAAUACAUGAUUGUAAUUCAACAUUAGAUAUCAAUGAAGAAUAAACCAAUUUGUUAGUGUAUUAGUGCAUUUCUCUCUCUUAAUCUCUCUCUUUCUCUAUGGAGGGUGACUACCUCGAAUUAAGUCAAUUUCCCUACAAUCCCCAUCCAUUCCCCUAUAAUUCCCAUCAAUCCCCAUUAGGAACCAUCGGGUUCCUAACAAUUUAUUACCAUCUGUGAUGCACUGGCUGGAACCCCUUAUGUUAGCCAGCCAGCUUAGAGAAGAGAUUUGUUUUUCUAGCAACUUUCAUAUUUCAAGCGAUUUGAUUCUAGAAGCUCUUACAACACUAAGAUGUUCUGAGAAUUUUUCAAUGGAGCGUUUGGAAUUACUUGGUGAUUCAGUUCUAAAUUAUGCAGUGGGCUAUCACCUCUUUCUUAAAAAUCCUGAGAAACAUGAAGGGCAAUUAAAUGAUAUACGUAAAAGGGUUAUUUGUAAUGCAACCCUACAUAAAUUGGGAACAGAUCGCAAAUUACAGACCUGUCAAACCCCAAUACAUCCAAUAACCCCAACCAGCCUUUUGGAUUCAAUCUGCUGGUCAAUGUCCGAGCCAACUUUGACUGUUUCUAUUUGCACACUCUUUCAGUGUUGAUGGUACAAGUGAACAUCCCUCAUCUUUAUUCCUAGAUGCAAAAGGGGAUGGCAAGGAUUCAGAAGCUUUAUUUACGAACGUAACCCAGCCACUUACAGAAAGUGAGGAAUCCAAAUUGAUAUUUAAAUACCAUUUUCUUACCAUACUGCUUCCCAUUGACCGACUUGCUGAGAUGGGGCCUUCAAGAACGUUUUUCAGCGAUAAUGGCUUUACAUGUUUGCAAUUGUUAGAUCAUAUCUAUGCAUUUUAUCAGGAGAACAUGUCUGUCCACGAAAUAGAGGCUGCAAUUCACACUGAUUCAAGGCAUGCAGACCAGCUGCGGUCAGUGUACUCUAGUAGAGAAACAUCAGAAUGUGGUUAUGUGGUUUUUAAACGGAUUGAUAUCUUAGAAAGCUGCAAAAGUUUUGAAGUCUUGAAGCGUGUCAAUGGGGACAACAACAGUAACGUAUACGAGCUGUUGGUCAGGGCAUGAUGUCAUCUUUUCUUUGGCUAAUCCCUUUCCCAUGUUUUAGUUUUGAUUCAGUGGCAGUUAAAUGGCCUAGCUGAACGAUUUGUUCCAGGUCAAGAUGCAUUCAACCUUGCUUCUUUGAGAUAUCAAGAAGAAUGGUAAAGGUUUCUUCAAUUUUAUAGAACACUUAAGAAUAUAUGAUUUGCAUUUACUAAGCACAGUGAAUGGUAAAUGAGUGAAAUAUUUACUAAUAGUCUUUUUGUUCAAAGCCUACAGAUUGAUGGUAUACACCAAUUCAAAUGGCAGUGCCUUCAUACAGCAGCUUUGAAUUUCAGAUCCCUUGUACAUUGACAAUAUAUUUGAUGGUUAAGUUUCUUUUUUUACUUCAUUUGGCAAGUGUUGUAAAUGGUAAACGAGUGAAAUACUUGCAGAUAAUCUUUUUCUUCGUAACCCAUACCCAUUCAAGGGGCAGUGCCUUGAUACAGUAGGUUUGAAUUUAAGAUGGUUGAGAUGUUUUCAAA